CAAAAAAUAGUUUUAAAAAAAAUUUUAAUUUUGGGGAUUAAAGAUGUAAAUAAUUUAUUUUUUUGA
rnacentral:tRNA from 1 species